GGCUACGUAAGCUGUAACAGCGCUGUCGCUUGCUAAUAUUCAGAAUAAUUAUUCAGAUCGGCUGAAUGUAGCUUAGGUAUUGUCGAUGUUAAUGAUAUGCAAUUCAUUGACAAAUAAUAAAAAGAGUGAGGUGAUUUAAUAAGCGCUAGAACCGUCUGGCUAUUGUAGGCUACAUCGCCAAGUUUCCACGGCUCCCGCGUGCGCGUGCUAUCCCUAAACUCCAGUGGAAGGGAGGAUAAGCGGUUCUUCCUGCUAGACACCAGGUUCUUCCACUCCUUUUCUGUCACUAGAGUGGGGAUGUCUCUUGUCUGACUGCUAUCUACUGAUCUAAUAGGUGUGUAUUCAUAACACCCUGUGUGUGUGUGUGUGUUCACAUUCUUGUGUAUGCGUGUGCACGUUUGUGUUUGACACUUGAUGUACUUCAUGGUUACUCAUUGUUACGGUGUCGCAACCUGAGGCUUACAUAUCAGUCCAC
ensembl:lncRNA